UCCCUGGUGGCUUAGAGGGUAAAGCGUCAGCCUGCAAUGUGGGUAAGCCCAGGUUUGAUUCCUGGGUCGGGAA
rnacentral:tRNA from 1 species